rnacentral:rRNA from 1 species
AACGUAGGAGACAAACGUUAUCCGGAGUUACUGGGCGUAAAGGGCGUGUAGGUGGUUUUGUAAGUCUGGCGUGAAAUUUCUCGGCUUAACCGAGGCAGGUCGUCGGAUACUAUAAGACUAGAGGACGGUAGAGGCGUGUGGAAUUCCGGGUGUAGUGGUGAAAUGCGUAGAGAUCCGGAGGAACACCAGUGGCGAAGGCGACACGCUGGGCCGUACCUGACACUGAUGCGCGACAGCAUGGGGAGCAAACAGGG